rnacentral:rRNA from 1 species
AGAGUUUGAUCAUGGCUCAGAGCGAACGUUAGCGGCGCGCCCAACACAUGCAAGUCGCACGAGAAAGGGGGCAACCCCCGGUACAGUGGCGCACGGGUGAGUAACACGUAGAUGACCUUCCCUGGAGUGGUGGAUAACCUGCCGAAAGGCGGGCUAAUACAGCAUGGGACCACAUGGUUUUGACCGAGUGGUGAAAGCGGGCCUCUGUUCACAAGCUCGCGCUCUGGGAUGGGUCUGCGGCCCAUCAGCUAGUUGGUGAGGUAACGGCUCACCAAGGCAACGACGGGUAGCUGGUCUGAGAGGAUGACCAGCCACACUGGAACUGAGACACGGUCCAGACUCCUACGGGAGGCAGCAGUGGGGAAUCUUGCGCAAUGGGCGAAAGCCUGACGCAGCGACGCCGCGUGGGUGAUGAAGGCCCUCGGGUUGUAAAGCCCUGUGGGGAGGAACGAACCGUUCGGGGGUGAAUAUCCUCCGAGCCUGACGGUACCUCCUUAGCAAGCAUCGGCUAACUCUGUGCCAGCAGCCGCGGUAAGACAGAGGAUGCGAACGUUGCUCGGAAUUACUGGGCGUAAAGCGCGCGCAGGUUGCCUUGUAAGUCGUGUGUGAAAUCCCUCUGCUCAACGGAGGAAGUGCACGGGAUACUGCAAGGCUGGAGUACAGAAGAGGACAGCGGAAUUCCCGGUGUAGAGGUGAAAUUCGUAGAUAUCGGGAGGAACACCAGUGGCGAAGGCGGCUGUCUGGGCUGAUACUGACACUGAGGCGCGAAAGCGUGGGAAGCAAACAGGAUUAGAUACCCU